CUUAACCUACUGUACCAGUGAGUGGAUGAGGUGAUGUGCAGCACCAGUACCUACCACUGAGUGGAUGAGGUGAUGUGCAGCACCAGUACCUACCACUGAGUGGAUGAGGUGUUGUGCAGCACCAGUACCUACCACUGAGUGGAUGAGGUGUUGUGCAGCACCAAUACCUACCACUGAGUGGAUGAGGUGAUGUGCAGCACCAGUACCUACCACUGAGUGGAUGAGGUGUUGUGCAGCACCAAUACCUACCACUGAGUGGAUGAGGUGAUGUGCAGCACCAGUACCUACCACUGAGUGGAUGAGGUGAUGUGCAGCACCAGUACCUACCACUGAGUGGAUGAGGUGUUGUGCAGCACCAAUACCUACUACUGAGUGGAUGAGGUGAUGUGCAGCACCAGUACCUACCAGUGAGUGGAUGAGGUGAUGUGCAGCACCAAUACCUACCACUGAGUGGAUGAGGUGAUGUGCAGCACCAGUACCUACCACUGAGUGGAUGAGGUGUUGUGCAGCACCAGUACCUACCAGUGAGUGGAUGAGGUGAUGUGCAGAGUUAGUUUUUUGUCUUACCUUGUGAGAGGUAGUGUGUGGUUCAUAUAGCCCAUGCAGUGGGAUGUGUUCAUCAUAUCUUAAAACAAUUAUAAUAACAAUCAUUUAUAACCGUC